rnacentral:rRNA from 1 species
UACGAAGGGGGCUAGCGUUGUUCGGAAUUACUGGGCGUAAAGGGCGCGUAGGCGGCCGACUAAGUUAGGCGUGAAAGCCCAGGGCUCAACUCUGGAAUUGCGCUUAAUACUGGUAGGCUUGAGUACGGGAGAGGAUAGUGGAAUUCCCAGUGUAGAGGUGAAAUUCGUAGAUAUUGGGAAGAACACCAGUGGCGAAGGCGGCUAUCUGGACCGUAACUGACGCUGAGGCGCGAAAGCGUGGGGAGCAAACAGG